rnacentral:lncRNA from 1 species
AUGCGCCUCUGCCGCAGGAUCUACGGUCGCGUGCAGCCAUUUGAAGCAUUUGGGACGUUGAUCGUAUUAAACGUUAUGCAUACUACAGGCCUCCAGGACACCUACCACCUCCGUGGGAGACCCAGCCCGCCACUCAACGACCUCCACAGCACCACCUGGUGGUCACACAGGGAGGAGCCAAGCGAGAGCACCACCUCCUACCGGGAGCAACUGACUGACAAAGAGCAGCACAUUGCCAGACUACAGAGCGCGCUGAGGCGUGAGAGAGAAAAGAGUUCCAGCCUGCAGUCUCGGUACAGCCAGCAGGGGGUGGAGUUGAGGCGUCGAGAGCAGCACAGUGUCCGGCUGAGAGAGAGGCUGACCGAGAGACCGAGAGAAAGGGGUCCCUGUAAGGAUCUUUCUCGUUCUCUCCAAACUCACAGUUUAAUGGUUACCCACACAAGUGUAUAUACACACAACACAACUAUACACAAACCAAUGUGUGUAUACACGCGCACUGUCUGCCUGCAGCCAUGGAGCUUUUGAACCCGAUAAAGAGGGACCAACCUGCCAGGCCAGCCCGGACCAAUGGAAGGUAGGAGUCAGCUUUCCAAACGGAGACCUACUCUUUCUGCAUUACUGACGGGGCCCUUUCCAUGGGGUGUUACUGAUGGGGCCCUUUCCACGGCGCACUAACACAGCCGGUUCGUCUCCACCCAGGACCGAGGAGGCGGCUCUACGUGCCAUGCUGGAGAGGAGGGAGGCGGAGUUGAGGGAGGCCAUGAAGCUCCGACACAAGCUCGCCACACUGCUGCACGCCCUGCGGGCGGAGAUGGAACGGGUGGGAGGCCAGCUCACGGGGAGGGCUUAAUCUGUUCCUCAGGAUGUUAUCUGAUCCCAGAACCAAGGGAGGUGUAUUUGAAACUCUCACUAGGCACUGAUCUGGGAUCGGUUUAACAUUUCUCCUCGCUGAUACACUGAACGAAAACAUGAACUCGGCGUGCAUCAAUUGGAACACUCACGGAACGAGUGGAUUGGCUAAACGGUCACGUCUUCCCCAGAGCCUGUUGGACCCAGUGGACGAGGACCCGGGCGACAAGACGUUGGUCCAAUCAGAGCAGUUGCUGGGUGACCAUGUGACAGGAGGCGUGGUCCAGGCAUGGAAGAGUGUUCAGAGGAGACUAGGGGACCUGUUCAGUCAAGGUGAGAGGGCACCUGACACUCUGUUACAUACAGCAGGGGUCAAGGGUCAUGUACUUGCUUCAGACGUUA